CAGUCGCCACGGUAAUACGGAGGGAGCUAGCGUUGUUCGGAAUUAUUGGGCGUAAAGGGUGCGUAGGCGGUUUGGCAAGUCUUGUGUGAAAUCUUCGGGCUCAACCCGAAGCCUGCACGAGAAACUACCGGGCUUGAGUAUUGGAGAGGUGAGUGGAAUUUCCGGUGCAGCGGUGAAAUGCGUAGAUAUCGGAAGGAACACCUGUGGCGAAAGCGGCUCACUGGACAAUAACUGACGCUGAUGCACGAAAGCUAGGGGAGCAAACAGGAUUAGAUACCCCAGUAGUCCCUGUCUCUUAUAC
rnacentral:rRNA from 1 species